CAGACGAGGAGAGAGGUCACAAAGAGGAUUUUAUUGAGAUCUCAACAAGGCAAAGGAAGCUCUAGAUCAGGGGUUCUCAACCAAGGGGCAAGGGUUUCCGGUGUGGAAGCAUUGCAAGAGGGCUUUACUGCAGUCCAGCCCAAAAAAAUUACAUUCUAGUAUAAUCUCUCAUAUCAUAGUGGACUACAAUGUACAGUAGCAGCAUGCCAUUGAGGACACCAGACAAAGUUCCAACACCUUUGCUGAGCAGAGAGAGGAUCUGAGGUGAACAAUAUGAUGAAAAUCAGUACUAAGAUCCUGUGCAGGGAUCCCUCUGCAAGAGGCCCACAGAACAUCAUCAAGGGCCACCAGUGAAGGCUCCAUGAUGGGCUUCCUGUCUGUAGCACAUACAGUGGGG
ensembl:lncRNA